CAGCAGUCGCCGCGGGAAUACGAAGGGGGCUAGCGUUACUCGGAAUUACUGGGCGUAAAGGGCGCGUAGGCGGCACGAUUAGUCAGGCGUGAAAUUCCUGGGCUCAACCUGGGGACUGCGCUUGAUACGGUCGAGCUAGAGGAUGGAAGAGGGUCGUGGAAUUCCCAGUGUAGAGGUGAAAUUCGUAGAUAUUGGGAAGAACACCGGUGGCGAAGGCGGCGACCUGGUCCAUUACUGACGCUGAGGCGCGACAGCGUGGGGAGCAAACAGGAUUAGAUACCCCUGUAGUCCCUGUCUCUUAUAC
rnacentral:rRNA from 1 species